GGCUAUAGCUCAACGGUAGAGUGCUUGCCUCACACGUGUGAGGCACUGAGUUCAAUCCUCAGCACCA
rnacentral:tRNA from 1 species